rnacentral:misc_RNA from 1 species
CGGCUAUUAUUGUAGAUCAUCCCGCGAACACAAAAAAUCGUGUAUUUUAUCAAAAUAGCGUGAGUAUGAGGCAUUAAGUGAACACUUCCCUUUGCAAAUAAAGAAAUACUCACGACAAAGCAUGCAGGAAUGAUGGAGAAUGUUUUUACAAGCCCCGAUUUUCAACUGAACUUUGUUCAAAGUGUGUGUGAGUUGUGGAGAAAUGGUAAAUUAUGUGAUGCUUCUAUUGAAGUUGGAAGUAGGGUGUUCAAGUUCCAUAAGGUUGUUUUAGCAAUAGCUAGCCCUGCAUUUGUGAACAUGGGUGAAACCAUUGCAUCAGACAAUAGACUGGUUAUACAGCUUCCGGUUGAAACCGAUAUUCAAGCAUUAGAGGCUGUGCUGCAGUAUAUUUAUGGUGGUGAAUUAAAACUGACACAAAGUACUGUAGAAACUGUGCGGAAAUUGGCAGAUAUGUUUAAAAUAUGCAAAAUUAUUGAAUUCUGUGAAAAAUUCCACUCGGAAUGUAGAGACAAGACUGAAAAUUCAAAUGGAAAUAUUGUAAUUAGUAAAAAAAAAAUACUGGAAUCAGAAAAGAAUGCACAGACCAAAACUCAUGGAUUAAAAGCAGGACUUAAACCCUCAAGGGGACGGGGAAGGGGUAGAAAGUUGCUUUGUAAGGAGUCAUUGAUAAAGGCUGGUGUAAAAACUAGUGAGGAAAGAACUGUUGCAUCAUCAAAAAAGGAUCAAGGAGCUAAUUUGACUUCAAAGGGUCAAGAUGAAAUAUUGUUGUCCAAGGGACGGGGUGGAAUAUUACCGGCAAGGGGGAGGGGGCGGGGAAGAGGGAGAGGUAGGGGUAGAGGAGGUAAAGCCCCUGUUUCAUCUUUACUUAGGGCAUGUAAUUUAAAAACUGAAUCAAAAAGUGAUGUUGAUCAAAUGGAAGACUAUGUGAUGAAUUUUACCGCACUAAAUGAUGCUUUGGAAGAAUCGCCAAGAAAGAGAAAAGCUAAAUUAAAGUCAGAACUGUUGACAAGUGCGAUUAUAGCAGAUAGUAAACAACCUACAGAAAGAAAUAAGUUGAAGGAUUUAUCACAAAAAGAAUCUGUUGAAGUAGAAUCUAAAAGUAGAAGUGAUGUAACACCAAGUAAACGUGGAAGGAAACCAGGAAGGAGAUCUACUUUGACAAGAGCAGAAAUACAAAGGGCUUAUAGAGCAAGAAAGUUCGCAAGAAUGAGUUCAGAUGAGUUGGAGGCAUUUCGGGAAAAAGAACGGCUGAGGAUUAGGGCUAGUACCCAGAAUGCUACGUCUCAUGCUGGUCGUGGUAAAGGGAGGGGUAGAAGGUUAAAGGUUUCGAAGAAAAGAGGACUUGAUCGAGGUGGAUCUAGCUUCAACAUAGACAUUGAGACAGAUGAGCUUGGUGCAAGUGAUAGUAAGUUUGAAGUUCAGGAGACAAUAAUAAAACAGAGAAAUACUGAGAGACAGAAGCGCUACAGAGAGCGUAAAAAGAACGACCCAGUCUGGCUGAAAAAAGAGGCUGAAAGAGUUCGAAGGAGAUAUGUUCCUGUAGCACAACUAAGUAAGAAAGAACAUGAAUUGAGACGUAUUAAGGAAACUGAACGCACUCGACUUUGGCGUUGGAAAAAGAAGCUGCAAAAAUCCCAGCUACCUAUUGAGAUGGUAAAAGAUGCUCAGAGUAUGGAUGACUUUAGUGGCAAGAUUUUUAUUUCCAGAAAUACAGAUGAAUCCAUAUAUGGUAACAGCGGACAAGUUGUUGAUGGGAGCACUGAAAUUAUUCAUACGGAUAGUGGAGACGCUAAUAUGGUAAAUAGUAUUAUAAACUCAAUGAAUGAUCAGUUCCAUUAUAUGCUUGGUGGAGAUGUUGAUGUGUCUGAUUUUGUUAAACAAGAAGCUGUAGAUCCAGAAUAUGAAAGUGAAGAUACUGCAUUAGUAUCUGUUAAUGAAUCACAGACUAGUGUAGAUUCCACUGGGAAUGAUUUAGAUGAAACAUUAAAUGAAACAGGAACAGGGAUGUGCAAUAAUGAAUUGAUUGAUAAAGACAGUGGUAAAGUUGUUGCAGAUGGACAUCAGUAUGCCAAUGCUGUAACUGAUACACAUACAAGUACAAUAGAGGAAAGUAUGGAUAUAAACCAAGAUGUAAAAGAAGCAGAGAGUGUUAUUGAAGAAACAAAUCUAGAAACAGAUGAAGUUGGUGAUUAUGUUAAUGACUUUCCUGUGGUGAGUGGUACUCUUGCAACAGGGAUACAGCAGCUAGAUAAUUCAGAGAACAGCUGAGCUGAUAUAUUUAUACAGUAGGAAUUUUCUUGCAUGUUUUACUAAUCAAUCAUCCUUUUGUUUCUUAAAUGAGAUAUUUACUACCUGUCUGAUUAUAUAUAGGGAAUGAUAUUUGUUUAUACUGUGUGAUGGUAUCACUGUAAGGUAAUUGCGUGCAGUUGUGACCCACCCAACUAGCUCAGUUGGUAGAGCACAAGACCAUGAAGCAAGAGGUCGCAAGUUUGAUCCCCAGGCGAGGUAUAUUUUCACUGUGACAGUUUGACAAAACAGAAUUGGCCUUCAGUCACAUGCUUCAUGUGGGAAUGUUGACUGCUGCUGGCCUGCAUUGGUAGUACUGGUACAGAUUUUGGGGAACAUUACAUAGCUGUUAUGUAGCUGAAAUACUUGUGAAGAAAUAAGUUAAACCAAAAUAAAACUAACAUAAAAAGUUUAAGACAUUUCUAAUAUUUGAAACAGUGAUACAGAAGAGAGGGUAAUCUUCGUACUAACUUAAAGCAAAUUCAUAUUUGAGCAAGUAAGACUUCUGACCAUUAAAUUGUGAAAUGAAAAUCUUGAAAAAAACCAGUGUGUUACACAGACUGGUGGUAUUCCAAUUUUUCAUCAUCACUACAUUUUCUUUAAAGAUGUAUAGGUAUAUGAGAUCAUAAUCAUCUGUCAAGCCGUAUAGCUAUUUUAGUGCCAUAUUAAGAUAAUCCAUACAUGUUAAAUGGAAGUUGAUAGUUUAAGUAGUUUUGUCUUUUGCAAAGAAUCUUGUUGAAUGAUUUUAUAAUCAGUAUGUUCUGUAAUGCUCAGCAUUUACUUGGCAAAAUUAUCCUGCUUUUGUCUGACUUAGUUUCAUUAAUUUAAGGCUCCAUUCAGAAAUUUCAUAUAAAUAAAUUGGACAUUUAUUAAAUUUUGUAGAAAUAUAUGGAUUUGAGAAUAAGUCAGUAAUAUAAAUUGCAUUCAUUGUUUUACUAAUUUGUACGAAUUUAUUUUAGCAUAAUGAUAUGAGUGUUGAUCCAGAAGUAAAGUCAUUAUGUCUUCUCUGAUGCAUUGUUAUGAAAAGUACAUCAGAAUGUAUGCUUAUUCAAUUCUGAAUGCACAAAUAAUAUUGUUUUAUAUUAGCUACACAGAAAUUUUAAGUAUACCACAGACUCUAUUUCAUAGCACCCUCAAAUAGAGUUUGUUUCUUAAACUGAAAAAACAGGAACACAAAUCAUCAAAAUAGCUGUUAAAAUUUUAGUUCUGGAUCAACUUUUUAACACAUACAGUCAAACUUGUAUAUAACUGACCACACUUGGGAGAGCCAAAAUGUGGUCUUUAUUGGGAGGUGGUCUUUAUUCACAGGUUAAAAUAUACUGUAAAUCUUAAAAUGGGAAACAAAACAUGUGAUCUUUAGAGCCAGGUGGUCUCUGUUCAGAGGUGGUCUUUAUCACAGGUUUGACUGUAUUUCUGUUUGUUUUGUUGAAGUUUAAUUUAAUUCGGUUCUAUAUUUUUGAAAAUUAAAAAAAAAAGUUUUUAUUUCUAGGUUUAGUUAUUUAGAAAUAUUACAAAAAAGCUAUACCUAAAGAUCAGAGUAAUGAUUUGCAUUCAUUUAGUCCUAAAGGGAGAUAACUGUUUAUGAAAUCUGAAUGCACGGCAGUAAUAAGUAGUUGGUAUAUUAUAAUACAGAUAUUAGAUAUUAAAGACGAAAACAAAAUCUUUAUAUUUGCUACUUUAAAAUCUUUUAUAAAGGAUAGUCAGAUAAAUAUCGAGCAAAGAGCUCUUUAUUCAGGUAUUUGAUGGAUCAAAACAUAGAAUAUAUAUGGAAUACGGCAAUGAAUCACAUAAAGUGCUUAAGUCAGUGUGCUGGAGCCAUCAGUGUGCAAGCUAUUGAUGUUUCACUGUAGUACAAUAUCGUUAAAUUAUGAUUAUUCAUAUGGGAUUUGGUGGAUACAUUAAUGUAAGUAAAAUUCCAACCAAAAAAGAACGUUUAUUUGAAAUCUACAAUUUUUUUUCCUUCAAAAUGCUUUUUUUAUGCCCAUGAAAUCAAAUUAUUUCACAGUAUUGAAGUUUACAAGUGUUAUUUUAUCGUUUUUACCAGUGUUGGGGAUAUGCUCUGGAUUUAGGGAUGAUUUUAACUGUUAUCUGUCUUGCAUUUUAAGUUUAGCAAAGUGGCAGUCCAAAAACAGAAUUAGAUAUUGUACAUAUAUCCUCUACACUGGUCAUAGUGCCAUAGCUUUGUUCUGCAUGUAUUUUUACAUAUUUAUGUUGAUAUUUGUUAAGGAGCUUUCAUGAUUGUAUUGUUUACCAUGAUAUAUAAAAUGAUGGUUUUUGUGAUCAUUCUUUGUUUGUUUCCAUAGAAUUUAAUUCUCUCUUGGACUGCAAGUAGUUAUUGCCAUAGUUCGCGGACCUAUUGUUUGCAUUUCUGUAAGUCUUUUGGUUCUGUUUCAGCACUAUCAAUUUUUGCAGGGCAUAGUGCCAUGCUAAUUUUUUGUGCCACUUUCUCCUGUAGUGAUGCACCAACCUGAUUAACCUUGGUAAAAUAGUUAUGAAAAUUAUC